rnacentral:misc_RNA from 1 species
ACAAACUUGGUCAUUUAGAGGAAGUAAAAGUCGUAACAAGGUCUCCGUAGGUGAACCUGCGGAGGGAUCAUUACCGAGCCCUGCCUCCCGGCAGAUCUCCCACCCGAUGUGAUCGCUACCCUCGUUGCUUUGGCGGGCCGGCCUCGGGCCGCCCGCCAGAGGUCUCCUUAGACCCUGAAUGUCGGUGUCGUCCGAGUACAGUUUGCAACGAUUAAAACUUUCAACAACGGAUCUCUUGGUUCUGGCAUCGAUGAAGAACGCAGC